rnacentral:rRNA from 1 species
GAUGAACGCUGGCGGCGGGCCUAAUACAUGCAAGUCGAGCGAACAGACGAGGAUUGUGCCUCUUCGACGUUAGCGGCGGACGGGUGAUUAACAGGUAGGUAACCUAUCUAUAGGACUGGGAUAACUUCAGGAAACCUGAGCUAAUACCGGAUAAUAUUUAGAACGGCAUGGUUCGUUAGAGAAAGAGCGCUUUGCUAAGCCUUAGACAUGUUACUGGGCUGUAUUAGCUAGUUGGUAAGGUAACGGCGUACCAAGGCAACGAUACGUAGCCGACCUGAGAGGGUGAUCGGCCACACUGGAACUGAGACACGGUCCAGACUCCUACGGGAGGCAGCAGUAGGGAAUCUUGCGCAAUGGGCGAAAGCCUGACGGAGCAACGCCGCGUGAGUGAUGAAGGUCUUCGGAUCGUAAAGCUCUGUUAUUAGGGAAGAACAAAAGUGAAAGUAUCUCUGCACGUCUUGACGGUACCUAAACAGAAAGCAACGGCUAACUACGUG